GACGAACGCUGGCGGCGUGCCUAAUACAUGCAAGUCGAGCGGACAGAAGGGAGCUUGCUCCCGGAAGUUAGCGGCGGACGGGUGAGUAACACGUGGGCAACCUACCCUGUAGAUCGGGAUAACAUCGAGAAAUCGGUGCUAAUACCGGAUAAUCAUUUGAAGUGCAUGCUUCGAAUGUAAAAGAUGGCUCCGGCUAUCACUACGGGAUGGGCCCGCGGCGCAUUAGCUAGUUGGUAAGGUAAUGGCUUACCAAGGCAACGAUGCGUAGCCGACCUGAGAGGGUGAUCGGCCACACUGGGACUGAGACACGGCCCAGACUCCUACGGGAGGCAGCAGUAGGGAAUCUUCCGCAAUGGACGAAAGUCUGACGGAGCAACGCCGCGUGAGUGAUGAAGGUUUUCGGAUCGUAAAGCUCUGUUGUUAGGGAAGAACAAGUGCCGUUUGAAUAAGGCGGCACCUUGACGGUACCUACCAGAAAGCCACGGCUAACUACGUGCCAGCCGCCGCGGUAAAAC
rnacentral:rRNA from 1 species